rnacentral:misc_RNA from 1 species
GAUGAAGAACGCAGCGAAAUGCGAUAAGUAGUGUGAAUUGCAGAAUUUAGUGAAUCAUCGAAUCUUUGAACGCACAUUGCGCCCUAUAGUAGUCUGUAGGGCAUGCCUGUUCGAGCGUUAUUGAGACCUCAAGCUCUGCUUGGAAAUGGGCGCUUGUCUUGCCUUGCAGACUCGCCUUAAAACCAUUGGCAGCUGAUUUACAAUGUUUGGUGCACAGUACAUGAGCCCAAGUGUUGCAAUGAGUGGCCCAAAAGUAUACAAUAGAAGCUUAACCUCGGAUCAGGUAGGGAUACCCGCUGAACUUAAGCAUAUCAAUAAGCGGAGGA